GAAACUAAGCAUAUCAAUAAGCGGAGGAAAAGACUACAAGGAUUCCCCUAGUAACUGCGAGUGAAGCGGGAAAAGCUCAAAUUUAAAAUCUGGUGGCCUUUGGCCAUCCGAGUUGUAAUUUAGAGAAGCGUCUUCCGCGCUGGACCGUGCACAAGUCUCCUGGAAUGGAGCGUCAUAGAGGGUGAGAAUCCCGUCUUUGGCACGGACGUCAGGGCUUUUGUGAUGCGCUCUCGAAGAGUCGAGUUGUUUGGGAAUGCAGCUCAAAAUGGGUGGUGAACUCCAUCUAAAGCUAAAUAUUGGCGAGAGACCGAUAGCGAACAAGUACCGUGAGGGAAAGAUGAAAAGCACUUUGGAAAGAGAGUGAAACAGUACGUGAAAUUGUUGAAAGGGAAACGCUUGAAGUCAGUCGCGUCGACCGAGACUCAGCCUUGCCUUGGCUUGGUGUACUUCUCGGCCGACGGGUCAGCAUCAAUUUUGACCCUUGGAUAAUGGCGAGGGAAAUGUGACACCUUUAGGUGUGUUAUAGUCCCUCGUCGCAUGCAAGGGUCGGGAUUGAGGAACUCAGCACGCGCCUUUGGGCGUCGGGGUUUUGCCCACGAUUCGUGCUUAGGAUGUUGGCGUAAUGGCUUUAAACGACCCGUCUUGAAACACGGACCAAGGAGUCUAACAUGCCCGCGAGUGUUCGGGUGGAAAACCCGUGCGCGCAAUGAAAGUAAAAGUUGGGACCUCUGUCGUGGAGGGCACCGACGCCCGGACCAGACCUUCUGUGACGGCUCUGCGGUAGAGCGUGCAUGUUAGGACCCGAAAGAUGGUGAACUAUGCCUGAAUAGGGUGAAGCCAGAGGAAACUCUGGUGGAGGCUCGUAGCGAUUCUGACGUGCAAAUCGAUCGUCAAAUUUGGGUAUAGGGGCGAAAGACUAAUCGAACCAUCUAGUAGCUGGUUCCUGCCGAUUUUCCCUCUCGAAAAG
rnacentral:rRNA from 1 species